rnacentral:rRNA from 1 species
AGGCCUAACACAUGCAAGUCGAGCGGCAGCGGGAAAGUAGCUUGCUACUUUUGCCGGCGAGCGGCGGACGGGUGAGUAAUGCCUGGGGAUCUGCCCAGUCGAGGGGGAUAACUACUGGAAACGGUAGCUAAUACCGCAUACGCCCUACGGGGGAAAGCAGGGGACCUUCGGGCCUUGCGCGAUUGGAUGAACCCAGGUGGGAUUAGCUAGUUGGUGAGGUAAUGGCUCACCAAGGCGACGAUCCCUAGCUGGUCUGAGAGGAUGAUCAGCCACACUGGAACUGAGACACGGUCCAGACUCCUACGGGAGGCAGCAGUGGGGAAUAUUGCACAAUGGGGGAAACCCUGAUGCAGCCAUGCCGCGUGUGUGAAGAAGGCCUUCGGGUUGUAAAGCACUUUCAGCGAGGAGGAAAGGUUGGUAGCUAAUAACUGCCAGCUGUGACGUUACUCGCAGAAGAAGCACCGGCUAACUCCGUGCCAG